rnacentral:snoRNA from 1 species
UCUGUGCGGCGAGCGCCCCUGAAAAACUUGUAGUGUUACUCGCUAACUCUUUUUAAUGAGUCGGUUUUGAGUGUCAACCCAGGUUGAGAAUGAGUACGAAUGUCUUAGCGCCUAUCUGUUAUCUUGUCCCUGACUAGGGUAGUAGAGGGCCGGUGAUUCCUACAUCU